rnacentral:rRNA from 1 species
UACGAAGGGGGCAAGCGUUGUCCGGAUUUAUUGGGCGUAAAGAGCGUGUAGGCGGUCAGGUAGGUCGGUUGUGAAAACUGGAGGCUCAACCUUCAGAGGUCGACCGAAACCCCCUGGCUAGAGUCCGGGAGAGGAGAGUGGAAUUCCUGGUGUAGCGGUGAAAUGCGCAGAUAUCAGGAAGAACACCCGUGGCGAAAGCGGCUCUCUGGAACGGUACUGACGCUGAGACGCGAAAGCGUGGGGAGCGAACAGG